rnacentral:rRNA from 1 species
AUUGAACGCUGGCGGCAGGCUUAACACAUGCAAGUCGAACGGUAGCAGGAGAAAGCUUGCUUUCUUGCUGACGAGUGGCGGACGGGUGAGUAAUGCUUGGGAAUCUGGCUUAUGGAGGGGGAUAACGACGGGAAACUGUCGCUAAUACCGCGUAUUAUCGGAAGAUGAAAGUGCGGGACUGAGAGGCCGCAUGCCAUAGGAUGAGCCCAAGUGGGAUUAGGUAGUUGGUGGGGUAAAUGCCUACCAAGCCUGCGAUCUCUAGCUGGUCUGAGAGGAUGACCAGCCACACUGGAACUGAGACACGGUCCAGACUCCUACGGGAGGCAGCAGUGGGGAAUAUUGCGCAAUGGGGGGAACCCUGACGCAGCCAUGCCGCGUGAAUGAAGAAGGCCUCCGGGUUGUAAAGUUCUUUCGGUAUUGAGGAAGGUUGAUGUGUUAAUAGCACAUCAAAUUGACGUUAAAUACAGAAGAAGCACCGGCUAACUCCGUGCCAGCAGCCGCGGUAAUACGGAGGGUGCGAGCGUUAAUCGGAAUAACUGGGCGUAAAGGGCACGCAGGCGGUUAUUUAAGUGAGGUGUGAAAGCCCUGGGCUUAACCUAGGAAUUGCAUUUCAGACUGGGUAACUAGAGUACUUUAGGGAGGGGUAGAAUUCCACGUGUAGCGGUGAAAUGCGUAGAGAUGUGGAGGAAUACCGAAGGCGAAGGCAGCCCCUUGGGAAUGUACUGACGCUCAUGUGCGAAAGCGUGGGGAGCAAACAGG